UACGGAGGGUGCAAGCGUUGUUCGGAUUUACUGGGCGUAAAGCGUGCGCAGGCGGUGAUGUAAGACAGGUGUGAAAUCCCCGGGCUUAACCUGGGAACUGCAUUUGUGACUGCAUCGCUGGAGUGCGGCAGAGGGGGAUGGAAUUCCGCGUGUAGCAGUGAAAUGCGUAGAUAUGCGGAGGAACACCGAUGGCGAAGGCCAUCCCCUGGGCCUGCACUGACGCUCAUGCACGAAAGCGUGGGGAGCAAACAGG
rnacentral:rRNA from 1 species